UAACCGUGGUGGGGGCAGAGGGCUUGCAAUUCUUUGAACCUUUUCUAUGCUUGAUAUAAAGUUUCACUCUCCUUUUGAGUAAACGAAUAGAUUUAUUUUUUCAAUGCA
rnacentral:snoRNA from 1 species